UCAAUAUCGUUGAAUAAUAACAGUAAUUAUUGUUAUUCUAUUAAUAGUACCUUCAUAGAAAACAACAAGGUUUGAUUAGGCCCUUAGUUAUCUAUCAUUUUUUCCUUGUCUUGUCAUUACGAUGUAGCAGUGGUGGUAGUAAUAAUAUUAAUUAUAAUAAUUAAUGCCAAUCUGUGGUAUUGAUAACAGUGACCGUAUCGUUUCAUUUUGCCGGCAUCUUUGUUGUAUAUUACUUUCUCAGUCACUUUCUUGUUCGUCAUAAUAUUGCUGACGAUAACAAUAAUAACAGUAAUAAUGUUUGUCCUAGUGAUCAUAAUUAGAAAAGCCUUUUUUUUUACCUGUUUCUUCUUUUAAUUAUCGUCGCUAUUUUCAGUCUGGCCUAAUUCUGUUACUGUCGAUGUUACCCGUGAAAACUGCUGAGGUUACCGUACCAAUUAUUAACACUACUAGUCGAGCUAAUGGUCAUCUCCGCUUGCAACUACCAUUUGAUUUCGUACUGCGAUAUAUAAUAUUGUUAGUAUCAUAAUCAGUAACGGUAAUAUAUGACUAAUCCGUAAACCAGCUGAUAAAUCCAUCUAGAAUACGACCAGCAGACCGAGAUUCUCCAGCUGGCUUUCUAGCACACGACCGAGCUACCGAGUACGACCUCGCUUUCGUUCGCUUGAUAUCGUUCUAUCUUUAUUUCCUAAUAUAAUAUAAUUAGAAUUCCCUUUUAGGAGCACUCGUGUAUUCAGUCGUUAACCUUAUAAUCGGCUGCAGCUCCAUAUACUUGCUACGACCUUCUUUUUCCACUAUGUUAGUAUUAAAAUUGUAGCUGAUUCGUUAGACUUUGCCGCUAUCGACGUACUUCGUGCUUGUUGUCUUUUCGUCUUAAACGCAUUUCCUUCUCAUGCCAUCUCUAUCGGCGCAGUGAAAAUCGAUAUUUCCGUAUAGCUUAUUCUACAUGCCUAAAAUUUUCCAUCAUUUUCAGCUGUCCUAUGUGUUCGCUCGUCACCAUAUUGAUACAGCAACUGUCCCUUCAGGAAGCACAACGUUGUCAUGACGCACCGUGUGUGCAAACGAAACACCCAUCCGAGGCGUCGUGUACUCUACACAGCUGUACUCGUGUACAGCUAGUCAUAUAUGAUCAUAGACCUGCACAAUACGUUGAGUAGUUGUUGUUGUUGUCUAUUACGUUAGAGUAUGUCUUAACAAUUAGACGUCGGAAAGAAAGGAGUCAACGCGGACGGGCCUGUAUAAGUUUGGGUGAUUUGUCUGUGUGUGCGUCUAAUCAGCUGGUUACGGGCCCGCCCUGUAAACAACGUCAACAUUGAUUGAUUAGACAUAUAGUAACUGCCGCCGCCGCCGCCGUUGUCGUCAUCACGGUACAUUGGUAAACAUCGACGAUAGGCAUCGACAGGUAAGGAUCGUGCCACCACGCCGUUUCCUGUGGUACCAUCAUAGCCGGUAUAUUCUGUUGUUUUUAUCCAUUAUCAAAAGUGCUUUUUCCUUCUACUUUGGUGACAGGCAGAUUAGUGUCGCUGCUAUAGUAUUUUAUUUGCACGUAUUACGUCUCACGCAAAUGUCUCACAGCGUUCAGCUCGCGCUGUUGAAGGCCCGACGGAGGAAGCUCUGGAAACACAUCUAAGAAGUGACCCCGGUUACCGCCCCUGGCCGCUAGGGGUCGCUUGCAUCGUGGACCCACCUUGACAUCGAAUCCGUAGACCCCUUAGUUAGUGACAUUUACAAUAAAGAUAGGCUUCCGCAGCCUCGAACCUA